rnacentral:ncRNA from 2 species
GGCCGCACCUGUGGUUCAGGUGUCCGUAUCAACGGAUGAAAAGGGAAUCCGGUUCAAAGCCGGAACGGGCCCGCCGCUGUAGCCGGGGACAACUUUCGCACAUACGCCACUGUGACAACGGGAAGGCGCGGAAGAAGGACGAUCCGGAAGUCAGAAGACCUGCCUGAACCGUAUGACCCCG